rnacentral:rRNA from 1 species
GAUGAACGCUGGCGGCGUGCCUAAUACAUGCAAGUCGAGCGAACGGACGAGAAGCUUGCUUCUCUGAUGUUAGCGGCGGACGGGUGAGUAACACGUGGAUAACCUACCUAUAAGACUGGGAUAACUUCGGGAAACCGGAGCUAAUACCGGAUAAUAUUUUGAACCGCAUGGUUCAAAAGUGAAAGACGGUCUUGCUGUCACUUAUAGAUGGAUCCGCGCUGCAUUAGCUAGUUGGUAAGGUAACGGCUUACCAAGGCAACGAUGCAUAGCCGACCUGAGAGGGUGAUCGCCCACCCGGGAACUGAGACACGGUCAAGACUCCUAAGGGAGGCACCAGAAGGGAAUCUUACGCAAAGGGCGAAAGCCUGACGGAGCAACGCCGCGUGAGUGAUGAAGGUCUUCGGAUCGUAAAACUCUGUUAUUAGGGAAGAACAUAUGUGUAAGUAACUGUGCACAUCUUGACGGUAACUAAUCAGAAAGCCACGGCUAACUACGUG